rnacentral:tRNA from 1 species
GCCGGGAUAGCUCAAUGGUAGAGCAACUGAUUUGUAAUCAGUAGGUUGUGGGUUCGAGUCCCUCUCCCGGCU